UACGGAGGGUGCAAGCGUUAUUCGGAAUUAUUGGGCGUAAAGGGCGUGUAGGCGGCCAGAUAAGUCAGAGGUGAAAGCCCGGGGCUCAACCCCGGAAGUGCCUUUGAAACUAUUUGGCUUGAGUGCGGGAGAGGAAAGCGGAAUUCCCAGUGUAGAGGUGAAAUUCGUAGAUAUUGGGAGGAACACCGGUGGCGAAGGCGGCUUUCUGGACCGACACUGACGCUGAGGCGCGAAAGCGUGGGGAGCAAACAGG
rnacentral:rRNA from 1 species